GAGUGGCGAACUGGUGAGUAACACGUGGGAAACCUGCCCAGAAGUGGGGGAUAACACCUGGAAACAGAUGCUAAUACCGCAUAAUAGCUUGAACCGCAUGGUUCGAGUUUGAAAGAUGGCUUCGGCUAUCACUUUUGGAUGGUCCCGCGGCGUAUUAGCUAGAUGGUGAGGUAAAGGCUCACCAUGGCAAUGAUACGUAGCCGACCUGAGAGGGUAAUCGGCCACAUUGGGACUGAGACACGGCCCAAACUCCUACGGGAGGCAGCAGUAGGGAAUCUUCCACAAUGGACGAAAGUCUGAUGGAGCAACGCCGCGUGAGUGAAGAAGGGUUUCGGCUCGUAAAGCUCUGUUGUUAAAGAAGAACAUAUCUGAGAGUAACUGUUCAGGUAUUGACGGUAUUUAACCAGAAAGCCACGGCUAACUACGUGCCAGCAGCCGCGGUAAUACGUAGGUGGCAAGCGUUAUCCGGAUUUAUUGGGCGUAAAGCGAGCGCAGGCGGUUUUUUAAGUCUGAUGUGAAAGCCUUCGGCUCAACCGAAGAAGUGCAUCGGAAACUGGGAAACUUGAGUGCAGAAGAGGACAGUGGAACUCCAUGUGUAGCGGUGAAAUGCGUAGAUAUAUGGAAGAACACCAGUGGCGAAGGCGGCUGUCUGGUCUGUAACUGACGCUGAGGCUCGAAAGUAUGGGUAGCAAACAGGAUUAGAUACCCUGGUAGUCCAUACCGUAAACGAUGAAUGCUAAGUGUUGGAGGGUUUCCGCCCUUCAGUGCUGCAGCUAACGCAUUAAGCAUCCCGCCUGGGGAGUACGGUCGCAAGACUGAAACUCAAAGGAAUUGACGGGGGCCCGCACAAGCGGUGGAGCAUGUGGUUUAAUUCGAAGCUACGCGAAGAACCUUACCAGGUCUUGACAUACUAUGCAAAUCUAAGAGAUUAGACGUUCCCUUCGGGGACAUGGAUACAGGUGGUGCAUGGUUGUCGUCAGCUCGUGUCGUGAGAUGUUGGGUUAAGUCCCGCAACGAGCGCAACCCUUAUUAUCAGUUGCCAGCAUUAAGUUGGGCACUCUGGUGAGACUGCCGGUGACAAACCGGAGGAAGGUGGGGAUGACGUCAAAUCAUCAUGCCCCUUAUGACCUGGGCUACACACGUGCUACAAUGGAUGGUACAACGAGUUGCGAACUCGCGAGAGUAAGCUAAUCUCUUAAAGCCAUUCUCAGUUCGGAUUGUAGGCUGCAACUCGCCUACAUGAAGUCGGAAUCGCUAGUAAUCGCGGAUCAGCAUGCCGCGGUGAAUACGUUCCCGGGCCUUGUACACACCGCCCGUCACACCAUGAGAGUUUGUAACACCCAAAGUCGGUGGGGUAACCUUUUAUUAGGAACUAGCCGCCUAAGGUGGGACAGAUGAUUAGGGUGAAGUCGUAACAAGGUAGCCGUAGGAGAACC
rnacentral:rRNA from 1 species